rnacentral:rRNA from 1 species
UAAGGAAUAUUGCUCAAUGGGAGAAAUCCUGAAGCAGCAACGCCGCGUGGAGGAUGAAGGGUCUAUGACUUGUAAACUCCUGUAAAGAAGGAAAAAAUUCCCAUUUGAUGGGAGAUGAUGGUACUUCUGGAGUAAGCCCCGGCUAACUACGUGCCAGCAGCCGCGGUAAUACGUAGGGGGCGAGCGUUGUCCGGAUUUACUGGGUGUAAAGGGUGCUCAGGCGGAUUUGUAAGUCAGAGGUGAAAUCUUACAGCUUAACUGUGAAACUGCCUUUGAUACUGCAAGCCUAGAGUAUGGAAGAGAGCGAUGGAAUAUCUGGUGUAGCAGUGAAAUGCGUAGAUAUCAGAUAGAACACCAAUGGCGAAGGCAGUCACUUGGUCCAUUACUGACGCUAAAGCACGAAAGCGUGGGUAGCAAACA